rnacentral:rRNA from 1 species
UACGUAGGGGGCUAGCGUUGUCCGGAUUUAUUGGGCGUAAAGAGCGUGUAGGCGGCCAGGUAGGUCUGCUGUGAAAACUCGAGGCUCAACCUCGAGACGUCGGCGGAAACCAUCUGGCUAGAGUCCGGAAGAGGAGAGUGGAAUUCCUGGUGUAGAGGUGAAAUUCGUAGAUAUCGAGAGGAACACCGGUGGCGAAGGCGGCCAACUGGACGAAUACUGACGCUGAGACACGAAAGCGUGGGGAGCAAACAGG